UACGAAGGUCCCAAGCGUUAUCCGGAUUUAUUGGGUUUAAAGGGUGCGUAGGCGGGUUAUUAAGUCAGUGGUGAAAGCUCCCAGCUCAACUGGGAAACUGCCAUUGAUACUGAUAGUCUUGAGUAUGAUUGAAGUGGGCGGAAUGUGUCAUGUAGCGGUGAAAUGCCUAGAUAUGACACAGAACACCGAUUGCGAAGGCAGCUCACUAAGCCAUAACUGACGCUGAUGCACGAAAGCGUGGGGAGCAAACAGG
rnacentral:rRNA from 1 species